CCUACGGGUGGCAGCAGUGAGGAAUAUUGGUCAAUGGACGAGAGUCUGAACCAGCCAAGUAGCGUGAAGGUUGACUGCCCUAUGGGUUGUAAACUUCUUUUAUAUGGGAAUAAAAUGUUCCACGUGUGGGAUUUUGUAUGUACCAUAUGAAUAAGGAUCGGCUAACUCCGUGCCAGCAGCCGCGGUAAUACGGAGGAUCCGAGCGUUAUCCGGAUUUAUUGGGUUUAAAGGGAGCGUAGGUGGAUUGUUAAGUCAGUUGUGAAAGUUUGCGGCUCAACCGUAAAAUUGCAGUUGAAACUGGCAGUCUUGAGUACAGUAGAGGUGGGCGGAAUUCGUGGUGUAGCGGUGAAAUGCUUAGAUAUCACGAAGAACUCCGAUUGCGAAGGCAGUUCACUGGACUGCAACUGACACUGAGGCUCGAAAGUGUGGGUAUCAAACAGGAUUAGAUACCCGAGUAGUC
rnacentral:rRNA from 1 species